rnacentral:rRNA from 1 species
AUUGAACGCUGGCGGCAGGCCUAACACAUGCAAGUCGAGCGAGCGGCGGACGGGUGAGUAAUGUAUGGGGACUGCCCGAUAGAGGGGGAUAACUUCUGGAAACUGUGUCUAAUACCGCAUACUAUCGGAUCCCCCAUGUGGGAUUAGCUAGUAGGUGGGGUAAAGGCUCACCUAGGCGACGAUCUCUCGCUGUGCUGAGAGGAUGAACAUCCACACUGGGACUGAGACACGGCCCAGACUCCUACGGAGGCAGCAGUGGGGAAUAUUGCACAAUGGGCGCAAGCCUGAUGCAGCCAUGCCGCGUGUAUGAAGAAGGCCUUAGGGUUGUAAAGUACUUUCAGCGGGGAGGCGUUACCCGCAGAAGAAGCACCGGCUAACUCCGUGCCAGCAGCCGCGGUAAUUC